GACGAACGCUGGCGGCGUGCUUAACACAUGCAAGUCGAACGGAAAGGCCCUGCUUUUGUGGGGUGCUCGAGUGGCGAACGGGUGAGUAACACGUGAGUAACCUGCCCUUGACUUUGGGAUAACUUCAGGAAACUGGGGCUAAUACCGGAUAGGAGCUCCUGUUGCAUGGUGGGGGUUGGAAAGUUUCGGCGGUUGGGGAUGGACGCGCGGCUUAUCAGCUUGUUGGUGGGGGAGUGGCUUACCAAGGCUUUGACGGGUAGCCGGCCUGAGAGGGUGACCGGCCACAUUGGGACUGAGAUACGGCCCAGACUCCUACGGGAGGCAGCAGUGGGGAAUAUUGCACAAUGGGCGGAAGCCUGAUGCAGCAACGCCGCGUGCGGGAUGACGGCCUUCGGGUUGUAAACCGCUUUCGCCUGUGACGAAGCGUGAGUGACGGUAAUGGGUAAAGAAGCACCGGCUAACUACGUG
rnacentral:rRNA from 1 species